UACGGGGGGGGCAAGCGUUGUUCGGAAUUACUGGGCGUAAAGGGCCAGUAGGCGGCCAACUAAGUCGGACGUGAAAUCCCCAGGCUCAACCUGGGAACUGCGUCCGAUACUGGAUGGCUUGAAUUCGGGAGAGGGAUGCAGAAUUCCAGGUGUAGCGGUGAAAUGCGUAGAUAUCUGGAGGAAUACCGGUGGCGAAGGCGGCAUCCUGGACCGACAUUGACGCUGAGGCGCGAAAGCCAGGGGAGCAAACGGG
rnacentral:rRNA from 1 species